rnacentral:rRNA from 1 species
UACGGAGGGUGCAAGCGUUAUCCGGAUUCACUGGGUUUAAAGGGUGUGUAGGCGGUUGUUUAAGUUUGGUGUGAAAUCUCCCGGCUCAACUGGGAGGGUGCGCCGAAUACUGAAUGACUUGGAGUGCGGGAGAGGAAAGUGGAAUUCCUGGUGUAGCGGUGAAAUGCGUAGAUAUCAGGAGGAACACCAGUGGCGAAGGCGACUUCUUGGCCUGUUCUUGACGCUGAGGCGCGAAAGCUGGGGGAGCAAACGGG